UACGGGGGGGGUAAGCGUUGUUCGGAAUUACUGGGCGUAAAGGGCUUGUAGGUGGCCAACUAAGUCAGACGUGAAAUCCCUCGGCUUAACCGGGGAACUGCGUCUGAUACUGGAUGGCUUGAGUUUGGGAGAGGGAUGCGGAAUUCCAGGUGUAGCGGUGAAAUGCGUAGAUAUCUGGAGGAACACCGGUGGCGAAGGCGGCAUCCUGGACCAAGACUGACACUGAAAAGCGAAAGCCAGGGGAGCAAACGGG
rnacentral:rRNA from 1 species